rnacentral:lncRNA from 1 species
AAUUCAACUUAACUGGCUAAGUCAACUUAAUCGACUCAUAAGCUAGAAUCAAAUAACCAUCAAGUUGUUAAACUGAACAAAUGACCGUCAAGUCAUUAAACUGAAUAAAUAACCACCAAGUCGUUAAACUGAGCAAAUCAAAUCAAACUCUUCUUGACUGCCAAGUCGAUAAACUAAGCAAAUCAAAUCAAACUCAUUUUUGAUUUGACCGCCAAGUCUUUAAAUUGAGCAAAACUCAAUUUGACCACCAAGUAGUUAAACUGAGCUAAUCAAUUUGACCGCUAAGUCGUUAAACUGAAUAUGUUAAAUUCAACUUCAACUCAAAUUGACCGUCAAGUCGUUAAAUUGAGUAAGUUAAAAUUCAGCCUUAACUCAAUUUCGACCGCCA